GCCCAGCAACCACGCGGCAGGCCCCGCGCGUCCCCGACUCUCCCCCCCGGCGAGCUUGCUCCACGGCGCACACCUCCCACGGGCCGGUCUGCGGGUCCUUGUUUCAAGCAGGGACGACACACAAAAAUCGUUGGAGGUUUGUGAAAAUAUUUCCAGGAUAAAGACGAAAACUAACAGGAGGUGGAAGAAGAGCUAAAGCGAAACAAACCCAAGCGGGAAACUGGAUUUUUAGAAAAUUAGAAUCAAGUCCUCAGUGAGGUAAGAGGAGAUAGGGUGUUCGCGACACAAGAAGAGAAGGGGAAGUCUUAAAAUUAAUAUUAUGGUGGCAGAGAUUUUUAAGACUCCCUAAAUACGGUUGCGGCCAUCUCCUGCCAAGUGUGGGGUGGAUGUGGAAAGCAGGGGACAGUCCAGAAGAAAAUAAAAGGUAUUUGGUAAAAGGUAUGCCAUCAAAACACCGGGGUUUCCAGGAAGAGACAAGGAGAACAUGAAAAGGAGAGCAGGACGCGACACAGGCUCGUUUUGCAGAACCGGAGCCCCCCCAGCUGCAGGUGAACGCGGGUCCACUCACGGCCCGCGCGGUGGCGGAGAAGGAUGCCCCGCACUGAAGCGCAUCGAGAAAGGGCAGGACCUGGGGGAUGAAGGGAGGAUCCUGCAAGCUUCCAGAGAGGAAACAGGAAAGGCGGCAUCUCAAGGGCUGGGACGAGAGGGCACCCUCCCUGCGGACACGGGGAAGCCUGAGACGCAGCCGCGGUGUCCCGCUGCCUUGAACCCAAACCGCGCAAGGGACCCCAGCGCCCGGGCGCCGCCAGCCAAGUGCGCGCGGGCGCCCAGGUUCCCAAGUCCUUCUCCCUGGAGGCUUCUGAGGCAUCGUUCCGCAGAACGGGAAUUCCAGGGAGAAAGCGGAAGAUGUGAAACCGGGACUAGGGGACCCGCCGCAGGGACGAGUUCCAGGGGGCGUGAGGAGGGGGCAGACGCGGGGCCCCGCGACCACAGACAUCAGCAAGCGGUUGCCGGCUCAGGAUUCAGCGCAGGGAAGAGCCGGCAGAGAAACAGGAAGCAGUGUUCAAGAUUGCUUCAUGGUUCAGGACAGCUGCUCAAGCUCCUACCAUCCUGUGCACAUUCCGGCUGGAAGAAGAAGGAAGGACAAAGGUUAAUCCUAGUGUUAGAACUGGCAAUUAGUGAGGCUCCAAUGGGAUGCCUGGAGGCCAGCAAGGAAGAGGCCAUGGCCAGCCGUCGGGGAAGGUCCAGGCCUGUCCUGGAAGCACUCCAGGAGGAGCCAGAUCAUACCAGAUGGGCCCCAGAUGGCAGCGCUUGA
rnacentral:lncRNA from 1 species